AAUUCAAAAAGAUCGAAUGCCAUGUUGAUGUUGCACAGAAGGAAAGUUGGAAAGAGAGUGUCUAGAACAUGGGAAUCUUGAUUAGCUUUAGAUGGAAGAAGAUGAAGACAUUUUAAGACCCACUGUUGCUGAAUAAAAAUGUGCCUGAGAUGAUCCCCUCAGCGCUGGCGUUUGAUAACUUGGUGGAUGUAAAUGCUUAGCCAGUCAGUCUCUAGGCUUAUGAAUAUGGAAUCCAGGUGCUCAUAAGGACAAGAAGUGUAUGAAUAGAAAAACAUAAAGAAGCCGUGUAAGUAUCGAAAGUUUGAAGUGUCUGUUGGAAUUAUCAACAUCGAACUUUCUGAGCCUUCGUACUGAAAGUGAAUCCGUUCGUGACACCAAUUAACUGUCAACCUUCUAACAUAACCAUUUUCUAAUUUCAUAGAAUAUCAGUGAGGAAGUGCAUGAUUCUCUUGCAAACA